AGAUGAAUGGUGAUGAACUACACUGUUCUUGGCGGGAGAACAUAACAAACUGGAGGAUCAAAGGGGUUUGGGACUGUGCCAAGAUGAAAUAUGAUGUUGCUGUGCUGAAGUGCUUCAUGUUGGAUGUAAUUCACCGCAAGCCCAGGGAAAACCACCAGUUAUUGAGCACUGAGCAGUUGAGAAGAGUCCUGGCGAAGUAGGAUGAGGCGAUGGAACUCACGGGGGAUUAUGGCGGAUUGCAUCCUUUGUGUUGGCGAAAGUUUGCUGCCCAACUCAACUUGCUUGUCAUGCUGGUCCACACAAUGUGCUGUUGUGAUUUGGGAGGUUUGCCCGUCAGCUCCUCUGCAAGCCUCUGUGACUUUACCCAUAACAACAUUUUCUGCUUAGAUUCACAGAGACAGACAGAGUUUUUUGGUGAAGCAUAAUACCAGUUUUGGGGACUAGGUGAGAAGGAGUAAGACGUCCAGAGGAAACUAGGAGAAGACGCACCUUAAAAUCGAAAAGGUGACCAGGACUAAAAAUAGCAACUUGAGGAUUGUUUAAUUUAAAAUAAUUGUUUUUUUUCAUCUUGACAUAUUGAACUUUGCAUUUUUUCACUGCACUGAAUUGAGAAUGUCUACUGAAUAACCAAGGCAAUGAUACCUUUUUCCUCAUAAAGGAAAUGUUUUUCCAUGAUAAUUAGGUCAUCCUAUGUUACUGUUUAGAAGCUGCAUCCAGACGCGCUGUAACCUUUUGUAAGGAUGUUUAUUCAAAUAGCUCCGCGGUAGAUAUUGUAAAAUCAAGAUUAAAUUGUUCAGUUUAACACA